rnacentral:lncRNA from 1 species
AGUGCUUGCAGGGAAAUCUGGCCUCACUGGCAUUUCCUGACGUUAGUGUGCUGGGCUUGUAUAUACUGACAGGUUAUAACUCACGGGUUAGAAGCUAUUACCCAACUCUCAGGAGACAUGGACCUUGAUUUAGGCGUAUGGUAAGAGUGGCUGCCCUAGAUGUCCUGUGACCCUGAGCUCUGCUUUUUUAGACUGUUUGUAAAUUGCCUUUGGGGCGGGGGGACCACCCUGCCCUCUCCUUAAACAUGUAGUCCAUGACUGCUGGUGUUGUGAAGCAGAGGCAGCUCUCAGAGCACUGUAAGGGAUCCCCAGGGCUUGGAAGCCUGUGAAUUCCCUUGACUUCCCUGAUACUCUUACACUCUAGCUGUUCCUAGAAACUCCCUCACAGUGGCUCUGACAGCAGAGGGCCAGAGUAAUUGGCUGGAACUCUGCCUUCUCACAUUGUCUUCCUCCACCCUACCAGCAGGAAGGUCUGAACUGUUAGCAAAGAGACACAGAAAAGCAGAAAUGCUGAGUAAGUCCAUUCAGGGAGCAGAGAGCCAUCAGCACUGAUGGCUGCAGAAACCCCUCGGUGACUAAUGCAGAAUACACAUAGAUGAUAAACACUGUUCCAGCUUCAGCCACCUCCUGUUAGAAACCUCAGGUGUGAUAAUCCGGGCAUGACCAUGAUCUACCCAAGAUGGGUCUCUUUACAGACGCCAGCACCUUUAGCUAUGCUCCAAGACUCCCUUCUCCUCCUUUCUUUUAGGAUUCAUGUAGUCGUUUCUAAUGACAUUGACAUCUUUGCUUCUUUUCUUUCCUCUGGCCUGUGUAUUAACCUUCUGUCUGCUACCUCACUUCCCUUUCCAUGCUAGCCAAUGAGGAACACUGGCCAAAGGUAUGUAAGAUCAUUUUCCCCUGUCUUUCCCCCCCUCCUCCCCUUUUGUUCCCUUCUCUUGGUAUAUAGGUCGUCCUCCAAAAUACAAUGCGGUGCUGGGGUUUGGAGCCCUUACCCCAACAUCCCCCCCAUCCAGUCAUCCCGACUCCCCUGAAAAUGAAAAGACAGAGACCACAUUCACUUUCCCUGCACCUGUUCAGCCUGUGUCUUUGCCCAGCCCCACCUCCACAGACGUAAGUAACUUGGGGACAUGUACUCUCUCUGAGAGCUCACAUGGGAAAGCCAUUGUCCUGUGCUGUGUCCUCACCAAUCUGACCCUUCCUUGCUAGCCCUGGAAUAGCAGGAGACACUGCAGAAUGCCUGCAUACCUUGCCAGGCAGCUUUCUUAUGGGGUCACAGCUGUUCUAUGUCCUUAAGAGUCAUGUUCACAUAAAUCAGGGGAGCCCAGGGUUCAGAGUCUGGGUUUGAUCAACUGUGAAUGAGCUCUCAGAGGAGCGUGGGGACAGGGGCUGUAGUUGGGUGGUUUCUGUCAUUGGUGUGCUGGAGGGAGAAUGUGAACAGGGCAGAUGCUUCCAGCUUCCUCCUGCACAGUAGGCGCACCUCCAGAAGGGCACGAGGACCUGUCAUGGUGGAACUGCUCAGAAACAGAUUCCAGGGCUCUACAUGCUCUGCUGAGCAAGCUCAUGAGGCUGGGACACAAGGAACAGCUAAGCACUACCAGCACCCAGGACUUGUGUUCUGUAGGAAGAGAGAGACAACAAUGGAACAGAUAUGUAACCUGUCAGGCACAGAUGAGCACAGGGAGGAGAAAUGGAACAGAAGGCAUAAGGAGCAGUGCCCAGAAGGCGAACACAUCCACCAUGAAGGGAGAGGGGACCUCUCAGCUGUGUGUGGGAAAGUGUGACCAGAGAGGGGAUAGGCCUGCUCAGACAAGGCGUUUAUUCUAAGUACCAUGGGAGAUCACCAGAGGACUUUAGUAAAGGGAUGAAAUAAUAUUCCAAUUAUACAUGAUUUUUUCACUGUGAUGACUCUGGCACCUGUAGACAUGCUGCAGUGCGAUACAGCACACAGUAUCACCGGUAGACAGGCUGCAGUGCAGUGCAGCACACAGUAUCACCUGUAGACAGGCUGCAGUGCAGUGCAGCACACAGUAUCACCUGUAGACAGGCUGCAGUGCAGUGCAGCACACUAUCACCAUUUGCUCUGACCACUUGUUGCUGCAUUUUUUUUCUUUGUGUACUUGCACCCACCUGCACAUGCAAACACAUGCAUACACUUUUUUUUUCCUGUGAAAAUUAAGAAUCUUCACCUCAGUGAGGUGUGGAGGCACACACCUUUAGUCCCAGAAUUCAGGAGGCAGUGACAGGCAGAUCUCUAGUCCAGCCUGGUCUACAGAGUGAGUUCUAGAAUAGGGCUACACAGAGAAACCCUGUCUCAAAAAAUAAAAAAUGAAAAUCC